UACGGAGGGUGCGAGCGUUAAUCGGAAUUACUGGGCGUAAAGCGUGCGUAGGUGGUUAUUUAAGUCAGAUGUGAAAGCCCUGAGCUUAACUUAGGAAUGGCAUUUGAUACUGGAUAGCUAGAGUUUGGGAGAGGAGAGUGGAAUUUCAGGUGUAGCGGUGAAAUGCGUAGAUAUCUGAAAGAACACCAGUGGCGAAGGCGACUCUCUGGACUAGAACUGACGCUGAGGCACGAAAGCAUGGGGAGCAAACAGG
rnacentral:rRNA from 1 species